rnacentral:rRNA from 1 species
GUUGGGUAGGGGAGCGUUCUGUAAGCCUGCGAAGGUGUACUGUGAGGUAUGCUGGAGGUAUCAGAAGUGCGAAUGCUGACAUAAGUAACGAUAAUGCGGGUGAAAAACCCGCACGCCGGAAGACCAAGGGUUCCUGUCCAACGUUAAUCGGGGCAGGGUGAGUCGACCCCUAAGGCGAGGCUGAAAAGCGUAGUCGAUGGGAAACGGGUUAAUAUUCCCGUACUGGUGGUAACUGCGAUGGGGGAACGGAGAAGGCUAGGUUGUCCGGGCGACGGUCGUCCCGGUUCAAGCAGGUAGGCAGAGUGAUUAGGCAAAUCCGGUCACUUAAUGCUGAGAUGUGAUGACGAACCACCAAGGUGGUGAAGCAAUUGAUGCCCCGCUUCCAGGAAAAGCCUCUAAGCUUCAGGUUACCAACAAUCGUACCCCAAACCGACACAGGUGGUCAGGUAGAGAAUACUCAGGCGCUUGAGAGAACUCGGGUGAAGGAACUAGGCAAAAUGGUGCCGUAACUUCGGGAGAAGGCACGCUGGCGGUAGGUAAAGUCCCUUGCGGACGGCGCUGAAGCCAGUCGAAGAUACCAGCUGGCUGCAACUGUUUAUUAAAAACACAGCACUGUGCAAACACGAAAGUGGACGUAUACGGUGUGACGCCUGCCCGGUGCUGGAAGGUUAAUUGAUGGGGUUAGCGCAAGCGAAGCUCCUGAUCGAAGCCCCAGUAAACGGCGGCCGUAACUAUAACGGUCCUAAGGUAGCGAAAUUCCUUGUCGGGUAAGUUCCGACCUGCACGAAUGGCGUAAUGAUGGCCAGGCUGUCUCCACCCGAGACUCAGUGAAAUUGAACUCGCUGUGAAGAUGCAGUGUACCCGCGGCAAGACGGAAAGACCCCGUGAACCUUUACUAUAGCUUGACACUGAACAUUGAGCCUUGAUGUGUAGGAUAGGUGGGAGGCUUUGAAGUGUGGACGCCAGUCUGCAUGGAGCCAACCUUGAAAUACCACCCUUUAACGUUUGAUGUUCUAACCUAGGCCCAUAAACUGGGUCGGGGACCGUGUCUGGUGGGUAGUUUGACUGGGGCGGUCUCCUCCUAAAGAGUAACGGAGGAGCACGAAGGUUGGCUAAGCAUGGUCGGACAUCAUGCGGUUAGUGCAAAGGCAUAAGCCAGCUUGACUGCGAGAGUGACGGCUCGAGCAGGUACGAAAGUAGGUCUUAGUGAUCCGGUGGUUCUGAAUGGAAGGGCCAUCGCUCAACGGAUAAAAGGUACUCCGGGGAUAACAGGCUGAUACCGCCCAAGAGUUCAUAUCGACGGCGGUGUUUGGCACCUCGAUGUCGGCUCAUCACAUCCUGGGGCUGAAGUAGGUCCCAAGGGUAUGGCUGUUCGCCAUUUAAAGUGGUACGCGAGCUGGGUUUAGAACGUCGUGAGACAGUUCGGUCCCUAUCUGCCGUGGGCGUUGGAAGAUUGAGAGGGGUUGCUCCUAGUACGAGAGGACCGGAGUGAACGCACCACUGGUGUUCGGGUUGUCAUGCCAAUGGCAUUGCCCGGUAGCUAAGUGCGGAAGAGAUAACCGCUGAAAGCAUCUAAGCGGGAAACUUGCCUCGAGAUGAGUCUUCCCUGUCGCUUUAAGCGACCUAAAGGAACGUUUAAGACUAAGACGUUGAUAGGCUGGGUGUGUAAGCGUAGCGAUACGUUGAGCUAACCAGUACUAAUGAACCGUGAGGCUUAACCUG